UAGGGAAUCUUCCACAAUGGACGGCAAGUCUGAUGGAGCAACGCCGCGUGAGUGAAGAAGGGUUUCGGCUCGUAAAGCUCUGUUGUUAAAGAAGAACGUGGGUAAGAGUAACUGUUUACCCAGUGACGGUAUUUAACCAGAAAGCCACGGCUAACUACGUGCCAG
rnacentral:rRNA from 1 species